CCUACGGGUGGCAGCAGUGGGGAAUAUUGCUCAAUGGAGGAAACCCUGAUGCAGCGACGCCGCGUGAGCGAGGACGUAUUUAGGUAUGUUAAGCUCUAUCUGUAGGGACGAAAAACGACGGUACCUGACUUAGAAGCCUCGGCUAACUACGUGCCAGCAGCCGCGGUACUACGUAGGGGGCACGCGUUAUCCGGAUUUACUGGGUGUAAAGGGAGCGUAGACGGGAAGGCAAGCCAGAAGUGAAAGGGUAGGGCUCAACCCUGUAUAUGCUUUUGGAACUGGGGUGCUAGAGUGCAGGAGAGGUAAGUGGAAGUCGUGGUGUAGCGGUGAAAUGCUUAGAUAUUAGGAAGAACACCAGUGGCGAAGGCAGCUUACUAGACUGUAACUGACGUUGAGGCUCGAAAGCGUGGGGAUCAAACAGGAUUAGAUACCCUUGUAGUC
rnacentral:rRNA from 1 species